rnacentral:sRNA from 1 species
UACAUCGAAUACGUGACCCCAGAGGUUC